rnacentral:tRNA from 1 species
AUCCCUGUAGCGCAAUGGAUAGUGCUUUGGACUUCUAAUCCAAAGGUCGUUGGUUCGAAUCCUACCUGGGAUG